UACGUAGGGGGCAAGCGUUGUCCGGAAUCAUUGGGCGUAAAGCGCGUGUAGGCGGCUCGGUAAGUCCGCUCUGAAAGUCCAGGGCUCAACCCUGGGAUGCGGGUGGAUACUGCCGGGCUCGAGUCCGGAAGAGGCGAGUGGAAUUCCCGGUGUAGCGGUGAAAUGCGCAGAUAUCGGGAGGAACACCAAUGGCGAAGGCAGAUCUCUGGGCCGUAACUGACGCUGAGGAGCGAAAGCGUGGGGAGCGAACAGG
rnacentral:rRNA from 1 species